rnacentral:rRNA from 1 species
UACGUAGGGUGCGAGCGUUGUCCGGAAUUAUUGGGCGUAAAGAGCUCGUAGGCGGUUUGGCAAGUCGGGUGUGAAAACUCCGGCUCAACUCGGAGACGCCACUCGAUACUGCCAUGACUCGAGUCCGGUAGGGGAGUGGCGGAAUUCCUGGUGUAGCGGUGAAAUGCGCAGAUAUCAGGAGGAACACCGGUGGCGAAGGCGGGUCUCUGGGCCGAUGACUGACGUGGAGGAGCGAAAGCGUGGGGAGCGAACAGGA